UACGUAGGGUGCAAGCGUUGUCCGGAAUUAUUGGGCGUAAAGAGCUCGUAGGCGGUCUGUCACGUCGGCUGUGAAAACCUGGGGCUCAACUCCGGGCCUGCAGCCGAUACGGGCAGACUAGAGUUCGGCAGGGGAGACUGGAAUUCCUGGUGUAGCGGUGAAAUGCGCAGAUAUCAGGAGGAACACCGGUGGCGAAGGCGGCUACCUGGACCAGCAUUGACACUCAAGCACGAAAGCGUGGGGAGCAAACAGG
rnacentral:rRNA from 1 species